CUUUAUUAUUGUCAGUCAUCGUUCAUCUUUCACCGUCCUCUUUCAUCUGUAUGGUCAAAAUGUCCCCCUGUUCUAAAAUUAUAGUAAGCGGUUGCGAGAGCAAAAUGGGUUUUGGAGAACAGACUGGAAAAUUGGUGUGAGUGGGAUGAAAAUACAUCCGUGUGUGGAAGCGGCAUAUUUGUGACAGUGCAGUCAUUUCUGAGUCUUGACAUGUAGUAAGUAUUUCUUCAGGCAAACAAAAGUCUCUGCUGUCAAAUUCAUUUAAUGCAGUUGCGCUCGCUCAAAGUCACACUUGCAAGUCCUCAAGUUUAAUUUGCGCACACCACGUUGGCCUGCGCUCUCGGAAAACGUCCUAUGCUCGCUCGACCACAUUUUCUCUCGGUAAAAGUGUUUGACUGCGCAAUGAUGUUUCAUCUUGCUUUCUCGCGCGAUGGCGCCCGUUCGACUUUUUUUAAUCGGAUUUGACGCCAUACAGUUGUAGUGGUUUCUCUGUGGUGUAUAUACAUUGGAGUUAUCCAACGUUUGCGUCAAAUUGUAUGCGUAGACUUUCCAGAAAUAGUGACAAAAGGUCCCCUUGGGGACUGGAGGGACCAGCGAGAGGAUGACCUGGUUUAAAUUUUCUCCUCUCUGCCUUGAUGGUAGCUACCCAUUUUAACAGAGUCCAUCUGAGCAGAUGAGAAUCAACUGUGCAGGUGCGGCUGUGGAAAUCCAACGAUUCUCUGUCCAGAGAUAACAAGUGAACUCCAAUCAAGUUUUAGAAACAUCUCAAGGAUGGUCAAUGGAAACAGGAUGCACCUGAGCAACAUUUUGAGUCUCUUAACGAAGGGUCUGAAUAAUUAUGUAAA
rnacentral:lncRNA from 1 species